AUGGCAUGUAGGAGAGAUGGAUAUUUAGAUGUCCAGAUCAGAUGCCGAAUCGGCAGUCAUUGGAGGGCACCGAAGAACCAGCACAACCCAUCCCACCAAAACCCAAAGAACCCUCUGCCUCCCGCAAUCUCCCUUCAUGAACCUCCCACUAUGCCCUUCCUCUUACAGCAACUUUCUCCUCCCACUAUCUUCCACAACCCUCCAUCUCCUUCCAUGUGCUCCACCCACCCACUCAAAUCACUUUGCUCACAAACAGGCACUUCAGGCAGUUUCAUUAUUAUGUGCAGACCACACCUCACCCCAUACAGCCACCCUGUUUCCAGGAGGGAAUGGACCUUGUCUGGUGACCCCAGCCCCCCUCGUCCCACAUGCCCUGGCCAGAGGGCAACCCCUCUUUGCAUGAGCUUCUUGUGCCACCUGCCCCAACCAACAGCAUAGCUUUCUUGUCAGAAGGUGAGGAACCCAAUCUCCCCAGGGACCUCUACUAUCUCCACCACCUCCUCCUUCUCCUGCCAUGAAGGUGGGACACUCUGAAAGUAAAUGCCCCUCUUUUUUAGAAUACAAAAAUCAGGGUGGGAGAUACGGGCUGGUCUGGGGGACUGGCUUUGCAACCAGCAUUACAGGUGUGAGUUCAGCCAGCAACUAGGAUGACAUAGGAGGAUGACAUUUCCAAUCCUCAACAAGAGGGAUUCAACGGUCAGACCUUUGUCAUAAUCUCUUGUUGCAGCCCUGGUAACUGGUGUAAGGGGGAAGAAAAACUGUCCUCCAGGUCCAAAUGGAUAGCUGAAGAGAUCUCAAUUUCUUGGUGUGUAAUUCAUUAAAAAGAAGGUGAUGUAGAAGGUGGGCCUUUGUAAUUGAAUGACUUAAAACAAUAGUGACCAUCUGCAGCGUACUGAGGCAUGAAAUUAUACCUCCUACAGAAUUUUCCAGCCAGGAUAAGAAAGGUCAAAGGGUUGAAUGGGAGUUAUUAAAACUUCCACAUAAAGGUGUUUCUCUACCUGAGUCUUAGAAGCUGCUUUUACCCUCAGAUGGGGCUUUGCUCCUAGGAAUGGGAAGGAUAACUGAGUUGAACUGGUCCUCUUUUCCUCUGUUUGUUUGUUUAUUUAUUUACUAUAUUUCUACUCUGCUCUUCUCACCCUGAAGGGGACUCAGAGUGGCUUACUGUUUGGCCACUUCAGUGCCACAUUGUAAAUACACAGUGUAUAAAUAUAAUACAAUACAAAUCAAAACACAUUUAACAUAAAAUACUAGACAAAAAUCACACAAAGCAUAAUAAUGUCCAGAAAUAAGAUAUAAAUAAAUAUUAAGCAUUAAAAAUAUUUGAAGCCAAUUUCAAUUAUUGUGGAAACUCAUCAGUUAAAUAAUAUAUUUCACUAAACUCAGUCAUCAGUGAUUAACACAAGCCAGUGAGAAAAUUAAGAGAAGUCUCCACAAAAUAAAUACAUAAAAAUAAAUAAAAUAAAAUCUAAAAACAAAACAAAAACAAAAGUCCCCACUAAAGCGUAGGAGGAACAGAGUUGAAAGUUAAGUGUUUAGAAAUGGAAAAAUGGACUAUAAAUGAGUGUAGAAGAGGAAAGACAUUAAUACAACCACCAUGAAGGAGAAUGGAAGGACAAUUACUUUGCUUUUUCUCUUUCCCUUUUUCCCUUUGUUUUUUUUUUACCUCUUCCUACCUUUCUUUUUUUGCACUUUUUUAUUCUUUCCCAACCCACUUACUCAAACCCCAAUACCCAAUUUUUCCUAUUUUAUCAUAUGCAUUAGAAAACUCUUUAAUAAAAAUAAAAUAAAUAGAAAGUUAAGUGCUGGCAGAGAAGCCAGCAGCCCCAAUCCAAGCCAAGCCCAGUUUCAGUACUGAGUUGACGGUCAAAGGGGGGGCUGGUUGGUAAAAUUCCCCAGUACUGUCAUCCUAUAAGGUAUCAGUGACUUAAGUAACUUUGGGCUAUGGCUAGCUGGCGGUGCGGUCACGACCAGAAAUAAGAUAUAAAUAUAUAUUUAUAUUUUUCAGCCUCAGCUUCCUCUUCUGGGGACCUCUUAUUGGGUUUCUAUGGAAAGAAGCAGAAAAAUCAAGGCAAAGGAAGGUGGGACAAGAAGCCAGAUGGGAGUCUAGCUUGGAAGAGAAAGUGUGUGUCCAGUGGAGAAGAAACAACUAAGGGAGAUCCAUGCAAAAGAGUUAGGCAAAGACAGAAGAGAGGGAACAGCACCUCUGCUGGUGCUAACAGGACAUCCCUCAAAAACAACCAGGCCUCACACAUGUUGGGAGUCCAUCCAGGCCUUUCAUCCCCUGGGGAAGAAGCUCCAAGCCCUCCCCGCAAAGGUGACCUUCCCAGGCAGGAGACCACCUGGAGGCAUCUCAGACCAACUGCUGGCUACCAUGGCCACCAUGGGCAGUUGGAGAAGCCGCUGCCCCCAAUUCCCUAGACUUCCAUCUCCAUCUUGGCAGAAGGACCCCUCCCCUCCGCCCAGCCAACACUGCGGUCCCUGCAAUGUUAGUCAACCCCUGUACCCAUUGUGGGCCUGCAGGAAAUUCAAGCCAACCCUUUUCAAACCGGCGCAGGGAGAGGAGUCUUCUCCAAAGUUGUGGUUCUUCCUCUCAUAACUACUGCAGCAGUGGAGAGGACAUUGAGACCUACCAGCAGACCAGGGCCACCAUCUCCUCCCUGCAGAGCGGACACCCACAACCCCUGAACAUCCCCCGAUCUCAACAUGGAGGUCUCCCAGCCCAUCUCAGGAGAGCAGCCUGAGCAGGAGUGGAUGCAGCACCAGGCUCAGAAGGGCAGGAGGAGGA
ensembl:lncRNA